rnacentral:rRNA from 1 species
GACGAACGCUGGCGGCGUGCUUAACACAUGCAAGUCGAACGGAAAGGCCCUGCUUUUGUGGGGUGCUCGAGUGGCGAGCGGGUGAGUAACACGUGAGUAACCUGCCCUUGACUUUGGGAUAACUUCAGGAAACUGGGGCUAAUACCGGAUAGGAGCUCCUGCUGCAUGGUGGGGGUUGGAAAGUUUCGGCGGUUGGGGAUGGACUCGCGGCUUAUCAGCUUGUUGGUGGGGUAGUGGCUUACCAAGGCUUUGACGGGUAGCCGGCCUGAGAGGGUGACCGGCCACAUUGGGACUGAGAUACGGCCCAGACUCCUACGGGAGGCAGCAGUGGGGAAUAUUGCACAAUGGGCGGAAGCCUGAUGCAGCAACGCCGCGUGCGGGAUGACGGCCUUCGGGUUGUAAACCGCUUUCGCCUGUGACGAAGCGUGAGUGACGGUAAUGGGUAAAGAAGCACCGGCUAACCACGUG